rnacentral:rRNA from 1 species
CAAUAGCGUAUAUUAAAGUUGUUGCAGUUAAAAAGCUCGUAGUUGGAUUUCUGGUCGGAAGCUCCUGUCCUCUGAUGAGCGUACAAGUGCGUCCUACCAUCCUUCUGUUAACCUUUAAGGCUUUCGCGGCUUUCUAGGGGCUCAGAUAUUUUACCUUGAGAAAAUUAGAGUGUUUCAGGCAGGCUAGCGCCGGAAUACAUUAGCAUGGAAUAAUGGAGUAGGACUUUUGCCUCUUCUGUUGGUCAUGAGGCUCGAGUAAUGAUUAAUAGGGAUAGUUGGGGGCAUUAGUACUUAACUGUCAGAGGUGAAAUUCUCGGAUUUGUUAAAGACUAACUUAUGCGAAAGCAUUUGCCAAGGAUGUUUUCAUUAA